GGCAGUUUGGUAUAGUGGUUUGAACAUUGGACAAUGACUCCAGGAGACCAAGGUUCAAAUCCCCGUUCAGCCA